AUAUCAAAUAUGACUCAGAGUAUUUUUAUCUCAUCUGACUGGAUCUUAAUAUCAUUGAUGAUAAUACUGGCUCCAGUACGCAGAUAAACAGUAUUGGCGACAUGGGGCAAACCCUGUUUCACUCUGGAUUUAAGAUACAUCCACACCGGUUUCUCCCAGCUUCAGUGCACAAUUGAUGUCUCCGCCUAUGAUAAUAGGUGUCUGAUCUGUUAAGAAGGGUUGCACAUCCUCCAACAAUGCAUUCAGUAACUUUAUUUCUUUGUUGUUAUAUUUUAUAUUAGCCAGCAAGGCUCUUCCCGGAAUUAGUUGCAUGUAAGACAUAAUUUGGCAAUUGUUACCUUUAAAUAAUAUCCUGACUCCAGAGGAUUUAUUGCUGUUGUUGCCGGACCACAGUGAGGGUCCUUGCGUCCAAUCUCUUCUUAAUUCUGCAUAAUUCGGAGAAUAUUCUAUAUCACCAUAACCUAUACCAAGUAAACACAAACCUUCAUAUAGAGAUAAUAAAAUGUCUUUAUUCAAUAUGACAAAAAUACAUAGAACGAUGGUCAGUAAAAUUAGCAGUAAAUAGAACCCUCUCAAAAGAAAGGACAAAAUGGAAGCCACAGAGUCAGCAGGCCACACUGGCAGCAGCAAAAAACAAAAUAAGGGAAAUCUGCUUCAUUCAUUAGCUUGCGACAGGACUUCAAGGUCCGACAAUAUGUUGAUAAGAAACAUUAGAUGUCUUCCAAGGCAACAAAAGAAUAUUGCAUGUGUAUUACUAACGGUAUUUCCCCUGUUUAAUAAAAUAAAAUUAAUUUAAGUCCUUUUAGAAUUGGGUCAGCAUGAUGAAAUUUCAAUUGUUCAUAAAAAUGAUGGCAGUCAGAAAUAUUAUCAAAUGUAAGGGUGUAAGUACCUUUUUAUGAGUCAUUUAAUGCCAAGAAGUUUUCCUUUCUUACAUGUAGGGUUUUGAAAAGGAUUUUGUCCACAAGAUAAAGAAAUUUGACAUUCUCUCUGUCACGUUAAGUGGGAAACGAAAGAACACCAAAUAAACAAACUACAACAGUAACACAGACUAGGCCCAAAGCUAGUGAGGAGGGGUAUGGUAACCUUGAGGUUAUUCCUAAGCCUCUCCCUGAGUGCUAACAGUAUGAGAAAAUCCUAAUGGUGGAAGAACUCAUACACCAGAAACUAAGACCUGCUGAAACUUUCACAAACCCUAAAUUAGAGAGAGGGGAUGGGACCUGCCGGAAACUUCCACCGUGAAGGGACCAGUGUCUCCCUGAGACCUAGACACAACACACAGACAAAGUAGAAACAGGAGGGCUUAGCUUGAGAUGAGUAAGAAGCAGGAGAACCUCUAACAACCAGCUUAGAACUCCAGAAGGAAAUAACUGUGGGUCUGCAGUGGGAGACAACACUCCCUAAGGUGCUAUUACUAAUACAUCUAAAUGGCUACACAUUGCCUGUCUUGUCCAUGAGGUCCCACAUUGUACUGAUGCUGCUCCCAAAAAAGAGAGAAUUUUUGACUACCUGUUCAGAAGAAGCCACUGCUCUCUCUAAUACUACAGUGUGUGUAUAAACACAGGCAAAUAGGGGACAAUUUAUGGAAUGUUUUUAAUUUAAAAAAAACAAACAAAUGUGAUAAAUAGAGUAUGUUAGCAAGCUGAUUGUCCAUCAUAGCUAUGUAUGUCAGUGUUACUGACAUUAUUUACUAUUGCUGUCAAUGAGUUAAAGAGUAUGAGGGGGGUGAGGAAAAUAAAAAAAAAUAAAAAAAAGGAGAAAGACAUGAAAUCUGAUAUCACUGAUAAUAAAUAAGCUAUUGAAAACCUUUCCAUAUUUUCCACUUACAGAUCUUUUGUAUCGCACGUUUGGUAAUUCUCCUUUACAUAAUCAGCUAGUAAUGGUUCAGAUAAAAUGCAAAAAGUUAUUUUAUUGAAAUGUGAUAUCUAGCCUUAAUUUAAAAUGUGUUCCACAGUACAAUACACACAUUACAUUGCGCAAAUGGUAUAUUGGAUUUUACUAGUAAUGCAAAUAUCCUUUUGUACUUGUAAAAGAAGGCCAGAAAAUCAAGUUGAACUUAGUAUAGAAUUUUCAUUGUGAAAGCCAAGUAAUUAACCUCAGUUCAAUUCACUUGGCAGUUACUUGAUAUAGCAGCAAACCCAAUAUUA